GUUGAUUGAAAUUAGUGGUCAACUUGCAAAAGAAGAAGAAAAGAGAGGUGGGUUGGAGAGGAAGGGAGAGAUUGGCACCUGACCUGAGUUGAAGCUUGAGAGACGGGUCUGAGAGCCUGGGGUUCAUGAAGAGUGUGUUCAUCUCCUCUUCGUCCGAGACACCAAGGGGGAAAUGCGGGGUCCGGAAGAAAUAUAUAUAUGGACGAAAGCGGGCAGGCAGACUCAGCCCGAACCGAACUUUAACAUCAUCUCUCCGUGCUCUGUCCGCAUCGCUCCCCGCUUAACCCGUUUGACAAAACAUGGUCAUCACAAAAUUAAAAUUUGUUCCACAGAUCUGGCCAUUCUUCUAGUCGAUAAGAGAAUGGGCAUAGGCCGAAUAAUCUGUUCUCGCUUGUAUUUUCUCGAUCCUACCUAGAUACAAACUUCAGGCCUCCCCACUCCAAUAUUAUCGUGAAACACAUCAAAA